rnacentral:rRNA from 1 species
UCGGGAAUUUUGGGCAAUGGGCGAAAGCCUGACCCAGCAACGCCGCGUGAGGGAUGAAGUAUUUCGGUAUGUAAGCCUCGAAAGAAUGGGAAGAAUAAAUGACGGUACCACUUAUAAGCUCCGGCUAACUACGUGCCAGCAGCCGCGGUAAUACGUAGGGAGCAAGCGUUGUUCGGAUUUACUGGGCGUAAAGGGCGCGUAGGCGGCGCGGUAAGUCACCUGUGAAAUCUCUGAGCUUAACUCAGAACGGCCAAGUGAUACUGCUGUGCUAGAGUGCGGAAGAGGCAACCGGAAUUCUUGGUGUAGCGGUGAAAUGCGUAGAUAUCAAGAGGAACACCUGAGGCGAAGGCGGGUUGCUGAGCCGACACUGACGCUGAUGCGCGAAAGCCAGGGGAGCAAACG